rnacentral:rRNA from 1 species
UACGAAGGGGGCUAGCGUUGCUCGGAAUGACUGGGCGUAAAGGGCGCGUAGGCGGCUGUGACAGUCAGAUGUGAAAUUCCUGGGCUCAACCUGGGGGCUGCGUUUGAUACGUGCGGACUUGAGUGCGGAAGAGGGUCGUGGAAUUCCCAGUGUAGAGGUGAAAUUCGUAGAUAUUGGGAAGAACACCGGUGGCGAAGGCGGCGACCUGGUCCGACACUGACGCUGAGGCGCGAAAGCGUGGGGAGCAAACAGG